rnacentral:lncRNA from 1 species
GUGUUUAGGGGACGAGCCUGGGAUUGGCUAUUAUGGUACCCAGUCCAGGCACUAAUGGAUGGAGAAGGGAAAAAGAGGAUCCCUUUGAAAAACACUAUUUCUGAGGCCUCAUCAUUUUAACAGAAGCUUGUACAUUGUGGAUGUAAGAAAGGAUGCGGCGGUCAUUGUUAAUGUGGACAAUCGUGUCUCCGGGGCACUGCCUUGUGUGCACGUGGUGGUGACUGUGAAUAAACAU